UACGAAGGGGGCUAGCGUUGCUCGGAAUUACUGGGCGUAAAGGGCGCGUAGGCGGCGCUGUUAGUCAGGCGUGAAAUUCCUGGGCUCAACCUGGGGACUGCGCUUGAUACGGCAGUGCUUGAGGAUGGAAGAGGCUCGCGGAAUUCCCAGUGUAGAGGUGAAAUUCGUAGAUAUUCGCAAGAACACCAGUGGCGAAGGCGGCUCACUGGCCCGAUACUGACGCUGAGGCACGAAAGCGUGGGGAGCAAACAGGG
rnacentral:rRNA from 1 species